rnacentral:rRNA from 1 species
CACGUAGGGACCAAGCGUUGUCCGGAUUCAUUGGGCGUAAAGAGCUCGUAGGCGGCUCAGUAAGUCGGGUGUGAAACCUCCAGGCUCAACCUGGAGACGCCACCCGAUACUGCUGUGGCUAGAGUCCAGUAGGGGAGCGUGGAAUUCCUGGUGUAGCAGUGAAAUGCGUAGAUAUCAGGAGGAACACCGAUGGCGAAGGCAGGUCUCUGGGCUGACACUGACGCUCAUGCACGAAAGCGUGGGGAGCAAACAGG